GUCAAAAUUAGCGUGCUGCACAUUUACCAAACACAUCAGUAUUUUUAAUCUUUAUUUCAUAUAACAGAAAGUCAAACUGUGACUAUAUUCUUACAUAAGCAGAGCCCACAAAUUUUCCUCCAUAAUAUGAAUGAGUAGUAACAGGAAUGUUCUCACCAUUGAUUCUACACGAGCAUGACUUUCCUGGAUUCACCAAAAAGCACAAGGUGUACAGAGCGAUGUCAAAUUCUGGGCUUGUCCCGAGGAAUAAACUUGUGACCGCCUUCUUAUAGUUUCCCCAGAAUAUCUGCAAUUUCACGCGACUUGGCUAAAAAUAGCAGAAAAUAAUUU
rnacentral:lncRNA from 1 species